rnacentral:rRNA from 1 species
AAUGAACGUUAGCGGCGCGCCUGAUGCAUGCAAGUCGAACGGUCUAUUGUUUCGCAAGAAGUAAUAGAUAGUGGCGAACGGCUGAGUAACGCGUAAGUUACCUACCUCUAAGUGGGGAAUAACCUGUCGAAAGGCAAGUUAAUACCGCAUGUGCUAACCUGUGAAAACUUGUUAGUAAAGCUUUCGGGUGCUUGGAGACGGGCUUGCGUCUGAUUAGCUAGUUGGUUGGGGUAAUGGCCUACCAAGGCGAUGAUCAGUAGCUGGUCUGAGAGGACGACCAGCCAGACAGGGACUGAGACACGGCCCUGACUCCUACGGGAGGCAGCAGCAAGGAAUUUUGCGCAAUGGGCGAAAGCCUGACGCAGCGACGCCGCGUGAGGGAUGAAGGCCUUCGGGUUGUAAACCUCUUUUCUUGAGGAAGAAUUAUGACGGUACUCAGGGAAUAAGUCUUGGCUAACUACGUGCCAGCCGCCGCCGUAAUAC